rnacentral:rRNA from 1 species
ACUCCUACGGGAGGCAGCAGUAGGGAAUCUUCCGCAAUGGGCGAAAGCCUGACGGAGCAACGCCGCGUGAGUGAUGAAGGGUUUCGGCUCGUAAAACUCUGUUAUUAGGGAAGAACAAACGUGUAAGUAACUGUGCACGUCUUGACGGUACCUAAUCAGAAAGCCACGGCUAACUACGUGCCAGCAGCCGCGGUAAUACGUAGGUGGCAAGCGUUAUCCGGAAUUAUUGGGCGUAAAGCGCGCGUAGGCGGUUUCUUAAGUCUGAUGUGAAAGCCCACGGCUCAACCGUGGAGGGUCAUUGGAAACUGGGAGACUUGAGUGCAGAAGAGGAAAGUGGAAUUCCAUGUGUAGCGGUGAAAUGCGCAGAGAUAUGGAGGAACACCAGUGGCGAAGGCGACUUUCUGGUCUGUAACUGACGCUGAUGUGCGAAAGCGUGGGGAUCAAACAGGAUUAGAUACCCUGGUAGUCCACGCCGUAAACGAUGAGUGCUAAGUGUUAGGGGGUUUCCGCCCCUUAGUGCUGCAGCUAACGCAUUAAGUACUCCGCCUGGGGAGUACGACCGCGAGGUUGAAACUCAAAGGAAUUGACGG